GGAAUUGUUCGCAAUGGGCGCAAGCCUGACGACGCAACGCCGCGUGGAGGAUGAAGGUCUUCGGAUCGUAAACUCCUGUUGCCCGGGACGAAACGCUCCGACCUAACACGUCGGAGCCUGACGGUACCGGGUGAGGAAGCCCCGGCUAACUCUGUGCCAGCAGCCGCGGUAAUACAGAGGGGGCAAGCGUUGUUAGGAAUUACUGGGCGUAAAGGGCUCGUAGGCGGCCAACUAAGUCGGAUGUGAAAUCCCCAGGCUCAACCUGGGAACUGCAUCCGAUACUGGAUGGCUUGGAUUCGGGAGAGGGAUGCAGAAUUCCAGGUGUAGCGGUGAAAUGCGUAGAUAUCUGGAGGAAUACCGGUGGCGAAGGCGGCAUCCUGGACCGACAUUGACGCUGAGGAGCGAAAGCUAGGGGAGCAAAC
rnacentral:rRNA from 1 species